AUGUAAACUUUCAGAAUUUAAGAAAACAGCCACCUCGCGCACUCGCCACGUCACGUCUGCGUCCAAUCAUGUGGCUGGUCUGGGUUUUUCUGAUUGUCUCUGGCUUUGUCUGGCUGGCCGAGGGGUCAUGCUAUAACGUCCUCCAACCCCCAAGGAAUCUGAACGGUAGGAACCUGUCUCUGUUUGUGUGAAGUCUGUAACACGUGUCCCAAUUUCUCCUCCCCUUUUGUUUUUUGAUAAUUCCAGGAUGUGUUGAUGAUGAAGGUCACGUGACAGGCCUGGGAAAGACGAAGUUUGACUACGACACGUGUUUUAGGUGUACUUGUGUCCGGGGCGCCCUCAACUGCUGUGGAUUCGGCUACAGAGCUGGAAUCAUGAACCUACCCGGAUGUAGAAUGAAAAGACUGCCUCGUUGUGAGUUUACCUUUGUGAGUGUCCUGGACGGGGUAUCACAAUGCGGGACAUUACACCGGAACUAACUUGGACGCAUGCCUGAAUAAAAAACUUGUUUAAAUUUUUGUCUGGACAGUGUCAAUGUCAAAUCUGCUCAAAUUGUGAAGACAGAAGGACUCUUGUUUACAACAGGACAACGAGGUUCGUGGACGUAUGGCUCGUCACGACAGAUCGGAUCCCAAAUGAUUCCGAGUUUGUACAUUCGAAUAUUAAUCAUAAUCAAACAUAUGUAUCAUCCCUAAACUUUUCUGUAAUGAAAUAAAACAGACACGUUUAUAAAUC
rnacentral:misc_RNA from 1 species